AAAGAGAAAGAGAGAAAGAGAAAGAAAGAGAACAACACUCCACUCUUUUGUGUUCUUCUCCUUCUUCUUCUUGUUUCCCUCUUCUUGCACUUGAUGAAAAGGGCUGAGAGGGAGAUAAAAGAGAGGAGUAGAAAGGGAGA
rnacentral:ribozyme from 1 species